GGCAAGGGAGGAAAUGACGUGAUGUUAUUUUUGUGUCAGGUCAGUUUCCAGCUUCAGCUUAGCCCUCCGGGCUUCAGGGAACUAACCCCGCGGCCCCACCGGGUCCCACUCCCGAAGGGACGCUGCGGGCUACGGGGACACGCGGUGUUGCGAGUCUGGAGAGCUGGGCGGCUGGGUUCCCCCUCCCGCUGCCCCCUGGUCUACUCCUCUCCCCGGACUCCGGAGUCCCUGGAGAAGGGGACGCGGAGGGCGACUGCCGAGGGUCUCAGCGGGAUCCGGAGUCAGGGCAGAUGGGAUCAGAGCGGAUGGAGAUGCGGAAGCGGCAGAUGCCCGCCGCACAGGACACACCAGGCGCCGCCCCAGGCCAGCCCGGAGCGGGGAGUCGCGGGUCCAACGCAUGCUGCUUCUGCUGGUGCUGCUGUUGUAGCUGCUCGUGUCUCACUGUUAGAAACCAGGAAGAUCAGAGGCCCACAAUAGCUUCCCACGAACUCAGAGCAGAUCUUCCAACCUGGGAAGAAAGCCCUGCUCCUACUCUGGAAGAAGUCAACGCCUGGGCUCAGUCAUUUGACAAAUUAAUGGUCACUCCAGCAGGAAGGAAUGCAUUCCGUGAAUUCCUCCGAACAGAAUUCAGUGAAGAAAAUAUGCUCUUCUGGAUGGCCUGUGAGGAA
rnacentral:sRNA from 1 species